GGACGCUUCAACGAGUCAGUGCACGCAGCAGUUUGCUUUCCAUUCCUCCCCAGCACUUGACGUAGAUUGGCAGUCGAAUGUCAGUUUUUCCUCAUGCUCCACUGACCAGUGUAUUCAUGUUUGUAAGCUGGGCAGUGACAAGCCAACCAAAUCUUUCCAAGGACAUACGAAUGAAGUAAACGCUAUUAAGUGGGACCCUUAGGGUAAUCUAUUGGCUUCCUGUUCUGACGAUAUGACGCUCAAGAUAUGGUCCAUGAAACAAGACACUUCUGUUCAUGAUUUGCAAGCACACCACAAGGAAAUCUACACCAUAAAAUGGAGUCCUACCGGCCUUGGAACAAAUAACCCAAACAUGAAUCUGAUUUUGGCUAGCGCUUUGUAACGAAUGCUAUUCAGGUCAUUACAUUACAUACGGAGUAUUAAAGGUGAAGACUUAGCGGUAAUCUGAUUACCAAGGCCUUUUAUGUUUUAUCGUCGGUGAGACACUGACGAUGACACGCCUCUCA